rnacentral:rRNA from 1 species
UUGCUUUCUUUGCUGACGAGUGGCGGACGGGUGAGUAAUGCUUGGGAAUCUGGCUUAUGGAGGGGGAUAACUACGGGAAACUGUAGCUAAUACCGCGUAGUAUCGGAAGAUGAAAGUGUGGGACCGCAAGGCCACAUGCCAUGAGAUGAGCCCAAGUGGGAUUAGGUAGUUGGUUAGGUAAAGGCUGACCAAGCCGACGAUCUCUAGCUGGUCUGAGAGGAUGACCAGCCACACUGGAACUGAGACACGGUCCAGACUCCUACGGGAGGCAGCAGUGGGGAAUAUUGCACAAUGGGGGGAACCCUGAUGCAGCCAUGCCGCGUGAAUGAAGAAGGCCUUCGGGUUGUAAAGUUCUUUCGGUGAUGAGGAAGGCGGUUGUUUUAAUAGAACAAUCGAUUGACGUUAGUCACAGAAGAAGCACCGGCUAACUCCGUGUCAGCAGCCGCGGUAA